ACAUGGUUUUAUUAAACAAAAAUGCCCUGUUGUUGUGCUAACAAUCUGCUUUCUGUCUUUGUAUUAACAACUUUAAGUUUUGAGUACAGCUUACUUGAGAAAUUUAAGGCAAUCUG